GCUGUGUUUUGGACUGCACUGCCUCAAGAUUCCCCGAGUAUGAGCACAGAGUGAUUGGGGAAGUUGUAGGAACAUACGAGGAUCCUCAUGUGUGCACCACUGAGUGAGUGGGCGUGGCAUCCCAUGAAGGGUCAAGGAGGCAACUGAAGGCAAACUUUGGAGGCCAGUGGGGGCCCAGCUGAGGCCAGAUCUGGGAGUGACCAGAACUUGCAUGUGCAGCUAAGGGAGAGCCAGAUCCUUCAGGAGACCAGAGCACUAGCCACCUCUGCCCUGAUGGAAUAUUCUCUCUUCUCUGGUUCUGCUACCUGGCUACAUCAAACUGUGGUUGCUUCAUGUUCAGCUUGUGGAGAACAGGAAUUCCUGAUGGACUCACACUGCCCACUUGUCUGUGGGCAGCCCUGGUGAUGUGACCCAGGACCUUAGCAGUACACCCUUGUUCCGACUGCUCUCUUCCUUCCUGUAGACAGAGGAGGCCCCUCAGCUGACUUCUGAAGACACCCAGCACUUUCUGCCAUGUUAUGUUGUAGCAACUUGCCAGAUGCUGUCAUCUUGAACUUUGGAGGUCCCAGCCUCCAAAAUCAGAGAUCUUCAGUUGUCCCCAGACUUGGCUAUUUAACAGAAUUGUCUGCAAAGCUUCUUCAGCAGCUUGUACCCACCCCCACGUGCUAUAGCAGCUGAGGUGGGGCCUAAGAAUUUACUUACCAAAUAAAGUCUCC